rfam:Triticum urartu cultivar G1812 contig53714, whole genome shotgun sequence.
CACCUACUCACUCCGUUCGAAAAUACUUGUCAUCAAAAUGGAUAAAAAAAUAUGUAUCUGAAAUUAAAAUACGUCUAGAUACAUAUUUUUUUAUUCAUUUUAGUGACAAGUAUUUCCGGACGGAGGGAGUAUAUA